rnacentral:rRNA from 1 species
CCUACGGGGGGCUGCAGUGGGGAAUAUUGCACAAUGGGGGAAACCCUGAUGCAGCGACGCCGCGUGAGUGAAGAAGUAAUUCGUUAUGUAAAGCUCUAUCAGCAGGGAAGAAAAUGACGGUACCUGAGUAAGAAGCCCCGGCUAACUACGUGCCAGCAGCCGCGGUAAGACGGAGGGGGCAAGCGUUAUCCGGAUUUACUGGGUGUAAAGGGAGCGUAGACGGCAGUGCAAGUCUGGAGUGAAAGGCGGGGGCUCAACCCCCGGACUGCUCUGGAAACUGUACGGCUGGAGUGCAGGAGAGGUAAGUGGAAUUCCUAGUGUAGCGGUGAAAUGCGUAGAUAUUAGGAGGAACACCAGUGGCGAAGGCGGCUUACUGGACUGUAACUGACGUUGCGGCUCGAAAGCGUGGGGAGCAAACAGGAUUAGAUACCCUUGUAGUC